UUGAUACCGUCAUGAAUCAUGAUUAUUAGUCACNACUUUUUCUUCUCAACUGAAAGAGCUUUACAACCCGAAGGCCUUCUUCACUCACGCGGCAUUGCUGGAUCAGGCUUGCGCCCAUUGUCCAAAAUUCCCCACUGCUGCCUCCCGUAGGAGUCUGGGCCGUGUCUCAGUCCCAGUGUGGCUGGUCGUCCUCUCAGACCAACUACUGAUCGUCGCCUUGGUAAGCCAUUACCCUACCAACUAGCUAAUCAGACAUCGGCCGCUCCAAAAGCAUAAGGUCUUUCGAUCCCCUACUUUCCUCCCCCCGUGCCCCCGCC
rnacentral:rRNA from 1 species